rnacentral:rRNA from 1 species
GACAGAGGGUGCAAACGUUGUUCGGAAUUACUGGGCGUAAAGCGCGUGUAGGUGGCCCCGCAAGUCAGGUGUGAAAGCCCUGGGCUCAACCCAGGAAGUGCACAUGAUACUACGUGGCUGGAGUACUGAAGAGGAGAGCGGAAUUCCCGGUGUAGAGGUGAAAUUCGUAGAUAUCGGGAGGAACACCAGUGGCGAAGGCGGCUCUCUGGGCAGAUACUGACACUGAGACGCGAAAGCGUGGGUAGCAAACAGG